rnacentral:lncRNA from 1 species
ACCAGUUACAAAAAGACAAAUAUUCCACUUAUAUAAGGUUUCUAAACUAGUAAUAUUCAUAGAAACAUAAUAGGAUGGUUAUUUCCAGGGGAUGGGGGAGGGGGAAAGCUAAUUGGCAUCGAGUUUCAAUUCCGCAAGACGGCAAAGUUCUGGAGAUGCAUUUCACAACAAUGUGAAUAUACUUAAUACUACUCAACUGUACACUUGCAAACAGCUAAAAUGGUCAAUUUUAUAUCAUGUAUUAUUACCACAACAAAAAAACAAUAAUUCAGAAGUUAGGACCUCUGAUGAACAUAUAAUUCAGGCCUGAGUAGCACGUCUUUCUGAGCAAACCCAGAGAUGGAAACCUCAGUAGCUGGGUGGAUGUGUUCUGAAGCACAGAACCAAGAAGAAAACUUGUUGCUGCUUGUCUUAACUUCAGGGAAAGGAACUUUAAAUCACUACCCCCAAAUCAGCAUCCACUUGAGGCUAGGCCAAGUGGACACUCUAGCAGCAUCUAGGACCACCUCAUGGAUAUAAUUACAGGAUAACAGCAUGAGCCUGUCUCAAAAUAAUUCCACAAUUAUUUAACUUUAUUUAAGACUUUGAGGGCUAUGUCUAUAAAUUCUGUUUUUCAUCAUAGGAAUGAGGGAGGAAAGGUGUGUGCCAUGGGGAAGUGGGAGUGGGGAACAGGUUUCUAAUAGAGUAGCUAUGGGCUUCAGUCCAUUUUGAUCCUGAGCAAACACAAUGGCAUUAGGAAGCUAAUAAUUCAGAAGUUAGGACCUUUGAUGAACACAUAAUUCAGGCCUGAGCAGCAUGUCUUUCUGAGCAAACCCAGAGAUGGAAACCUCAGUAGCUGGGUGGAUGUGUUCUUUUGAAGGAUAGCAGCAUAAGCCUGUCUCAAAAUAAUUCUGCAGUGAGACAGGUUCAUGCUGCUAUCGUUCCAAAGAGGAAGGGUAAUCACUGUCUCUUUCUGCUACUCCUCUGGUUCCACUUUCUGGAGAAUUCCCUUCAGACACCCCUUCCCUCGAGUCAUCCUGUGCAGCAGACCUGUUUACGUGAUCAGUCGGUCAUACUCAACUCACGGAGGUAUGUGUCUGUCACGAACAUCUCAAGUACUGUAUAUUUCAUCCCCAUUGUUCCCAUGGCUUACAGAAAACCUGUGCUUGCAUAUACUCCCAGCACCACUGAUUCAGUGAAGCCAAAACUGAGCUUCACACUUUUGUCACAAAAUGGACUUCCCUUUGGAUGGCUUCAUUUCUAAUCCUGCUUCUUGAUGUUUCAGACUUCUGGUGUGAAACAGUUGGAGUCAGCUUUGAGACACCCCUGUUGGUAUCAGGCAGGGUCUAACCAGAAAACCAUGACUACGUUAAGUUCUUAGAGUGCAAUUCCUUAUGACAUGGUUAGGUGGGUGAUGAGCAUCCCACAAAGAUGGUGAAGUGAGAAGCAAGCUAUUGUUGCUUCUGGGCUUCAGGAACAGCAGAAGGAGGUGAUGUGACUGGAGCCCAAUGUAGGGGGUCCUCUGCUCUUCUGUCUCCCACCACUGCUUUCUAGUGUCCAAACUGUCUGAAGCCAGACUAUAGCCAACUGACACAGAAUCCAAUGCAGCCUGUGUGUAUUAGGCUCCCUCACAACAUAGAGCAACUAUGAGUAGGUGAAUAAAUAAAUCAACAGAUAGCCCCAGAACUGGCAGAUUCUCCUUCAUAUUAGUCUGUCUACUACACAUUUAGUCAAUGGAGGGUCCACUAACUAAUUAUAAUAGAUUUAUAUGUAACCAGGGUUACAAGUUCUCCUGAUUUCCAAGUCAGUGUUUUCUUUUUUCUGUUUCUCUUUCUCAUACACUUCCACAAUCAAGUAUGUACAACUUUUCAAAACAUUGCCUAGAAGACUGACAAAAUAUUGAAAAGUAUUCCCUCACGAUAAUUAUCUGAUAACUUGGCAGGAAAAAAAAAUCCUGUUUUGUUUGCUAUAACCCAUUGAAAAUAUUAGGAUAAAAUAAUAAUUUUCAGGCUUAACAAUCACUUAUGGAU